rnacentral:lncRNA from 1 species
UAAAACCACACUAUUGACCCAUAUCAACAAUAAAUUUCUCGAGAGCCCAACGAACUUUGAUUGUGUGAUUUGGGUAGUAGUUUCAAAAGACCUGCGACUUGAAAAAAUUCAAGAAGAUAUUGGGAAAAAGAUAGGCUUGGUUGGUGAUUCAUGGAAGAGUAGAAGUGUAGAGGAGAAAGCUCUCGACAUCUUCCGGAGUUUACGAGAGAAGAGAAUUGUAUUGUUGUUAGAUGAUAUAUGGGAGCGGGUUGAUUUAACAAAAGUGGGCGUUCCACUUUCCGGACCAAAAAAUACUACCUCAAAAGUCGUAUUCACAACCCGUUUCAUCGGUGUUUGUGGUAGCAUGGAAGCUGACAGGAAGUUCCUAGUGGCGUGCUUAUCAGAAAAGGAUGCUUGGGAACUGUUUCGAGAAAAAGUUGGGGAAGAAACUCUUAAGAGUGAUCAUGAUAUCGCUGAGCUAGCCCAAAUUGUGGCCAACGAGUGUGGUGGUUUGCCACUCGCACUUAUUACUAUUGGUCGAGCUAUGGCCUACAGAAAGAAAGCGGAGCAGUGGAGACGUGCAAUUGAAGAGUUAAGGAGAUCAGCUUCAAAGUUUGCAUGUUUGGGAAAAGAGGUGUAUCCUCUUUUAAAAUUCAGCUAUGAUAGUUUGCAGAAUGAUACGAUCAGAUCUUGUUUCUUAUAUUGUUGUUUGUAUCCUGAAGAUUAUGGCAUUCUUAAAUGGGACUUGAUUGAUUGUUGGAUUGGCGAGGGAUUUUUUGGGGAAUCUGACAGGUCUGGUGCAGAAAACCAAGGAUAUGACAUUUUAGACACUCUUGUUCGUGCAUGUUUAUUAGAAGAGUUAGAAGAUGAUGAAGUAAAAAUGCAUGACGUUAUUCGUGAUAUGGCUCUAUGGAUAACUGGUGAAAUUGAGAAGGAGAAGCAAAACUUUUUGGUUUGUGCAGGUGCUGGAUUAAAAGAGGCACCGCCUGUUAAAGGAUGGAAAAAUGUGAGAAGAUCGUCAUUGAUGCAAAACCAAAUUGAAACUCUGUCAGAGGUUCCCACAUGCCCUCAUCUCCUCACUUUAUUUCUUGACUUUAAUAAGGAGUUGAAGAUCGCGGAUGGCUUCUUCCAAUUUAUGCCUUCUCUCAAAGUUUUGAAGAUGUCAAACUGCUCGUAUUUGAAAUUACCUGUUGGGAUGUCAGAGUUGGGUUCAUCACUAGAACUUCUUGAUAUUUCAGAUACCAGCAUAAGAGAGUUACCAGAAGAGUUAAAGAAGUUGGUAAAUCUGAAAUGUUUGAAUUUGAGGUGGACAAGCCAGUUAAGGAAAAUUCCGCGGCAACUAAUAUCAAAUUCUUCAAGGUUACGUGUGUUGAGAAUGUUCGCUACUGGCUAUUUCUAUCUUCAUGAAGCAUCAGAAGACAGCGUUUUAUUUUGCGGGGGUGAAGUUUUAGUACAGGAAUUGCUCGGUUUGAAAUAUUUAGAGGUAUUGGAGUUGACCUUGGGAAGUUAUCAUGCUCUCCAAAUUCUUUUGAGCUCAAAUAAGUUAAAAAGUUGUAUACGAUCUCUUUACCUCCAGUUGGCCGGAGAUGCAACGUCGAUUAUUGAUGCUACGGCUUUCGCAGAUCUAAACCACCUCAAUGAAUUAUGGAUUGCUGAAGGUUUUGAGUUGGAAGAAUUGAAGAUAGUACAAAAAAGGCGGGAACCUUUUGUUUUCCGCAGCCUUCACCGUGUUACUAUACAUAGCUGCCAGAAGUUGAAAGAUGUGACAUUCCUCGUUUUUGCUCCAAACCUCAAGUCUCUCGAUCUAGACCGUUGCGAUGCUAUGGAAGAAAUAAUCAGCUUCGGAAAAAUUGCUGAGACUCCUGAGAUGAUGGGACAUAUAAGCCCUUUUGAAAAUCUCCAAAUGCUUCAUCUAUCAUAUUUGCCAAUUUUGAAGAGCAUCUACUGGAAGCCAUUGCCUUUCACUCAUCUGAAAGAAAUGGUGGUACGUGGGUGUGAUCAGCUUGAAAAGCUUCCACUCGAUUCCAACAGUGCCAAAGAGCGUAAAUUUGUUAUUCGUGGAUACACACACUGGUGGAACCGACUUCAAUGGGAGGAUGAAGCCACUCAAAUUGCUUUUCGUUCCUGUAUACAACCUCCGUACUGAGCGGCGGUCGCAAAAUUUGAUUUCUGGUGAGUGCGUUUGUCUUUUAAAAGAAGAAUUUAAAAGAAAUUUAUUCUUGUCGUUUUCUUCUCUGUUUUUAUUUCAGUUUCUUUCUCUCUCUCUCUCUUUUUGUCUUCUGCAAAUCACAAUUAAAUGUUGAAUUAAUGGAGUCUGCCAUUACUGUUUUUUUGGGGGGUCGAAUUGAUGCUCUGGUUUUUUUACUUUUUGUUGUCAAAUUUUGCCUUGUUCUAUCUUCUUAGCGAUUUAAUUUCCUGUCAAAAGACGAGCGAGGAGAACAUAUGACUUAAACCAAUUGAUACUUUAUUUAUGUGCAUUGUAUGUAAUAAAUAUUAAGUAUACUUUAUUUAUACCUUGCUUGAUUGUAGAACCUUCAAUGUUAUUGGAAGGAAGAUUUAGAGUGGUAAAUCUAAAUUUAAAAAAUAUAAUUGAUUAUACACAAACAUAUAUACCUUGCUAAUAGAUUUAUAUAUGUUUGAAUACACUAACUAUUAGCAUUUAUUAUUUAAUAAAUAUAUUUAGCUGGUCUCUCUCUCUCUUUCCUGUCUUCUGCAAAAUAUAAUCAAUUAUUUUCAAAAUAUCAUUGAUGACUUUUCUACUCUAAUGCUAUGUAAAUAGUAUGUUAAGUAAAACAUAAUCAAUUAUUUGUGUUUUAUCUCUAAUUAGAACAUCAAUCAGUUCAGUACCUCACAAAUAAUUCGCAAUAUCUACAAAAUACUAUAAUGGCUACAAAACAAAUCCUGCUUGCAAAUUGUCAAGGAUACCUAUCCGUUCGCUUGACAAGUCAUUUGAAUAAAUAUUGUUCACAUUCCUUACUCUGUCAAUUAUCCAAAGCACCAUCAANNNNNNNNNNNNNNNNNNNNNNNNNNNNNNNNNNNNNNNNNNNNNNNNNNNNNNNNNNNNNNNNNNNNNNNNNNNNNNNNNNNNNNNNNNNNNNNNNNNNNNNNNNNNNNNNNNNNNNNNNNNNNNNNNNNNNNNNNNNNNNNNNNNNNNNNNNNNNNNNNNNNNNNNNNNNNNNNNNNNNNNNNNNNNNNNNNNNNNNNNNNNNNNNNNNNNNNNNNNNNNNNNNNNNNNNNNNNNNNNNNNNNNNNNNNNNNNNNNNNUUCUAUAGAGUGCAGAACAUGACUGUACGGUAUAUAUAGCCCGGUGACUUUAUUGUUUUGUUAAAUUUUUUUGUUUAAUAUUCUAAAUUUUUGUUUACAAAUUUUAAAUGUUAAUUCUUUUACAUAGAGCACGUAAGUUUAAAAAUCUAAAAUAAAAUUCGUAACAUAAAUAUUUUUUUCUACGAAAAGAAAAAAAAAUGUAAGGGCCAAAUUGGAAGGCGAUCUGUAGUAUAUUCCACCUAUGCGGUAGUCAAAUUGACACACGACGAACAGAACACCAUAUGCUGCAUAACAUACAAAUUAAUUUCCCAUAUGUGAUGCAAUUUUCUCCUCAACAUAUGCGCAAUUCUUUCCAUUCCGGCACUUACACUCAAAUUUUCCUUCCUUUCUCUUUGGUUGAAUCUUACACCACAACUCAUGUGAUGCAAUCUCCUCUCGCUGCCUAAAUUGCACUCUCAGCAAAGCAGCAUAUGUAAGCAAGCUUGAAGAUAAUCUUGCUGCUCUGUAGAAGAACGGCAAAAGUUAAUCGAAGCAAGGAAUGAUGUAUCAGAAAAUAUUUGGUGGAGAAUUCAGCACAAACAUAUUUCGGAUGAUCAGAAUCAAUUAAACCUGGUGGUUUGCGCCAUAUAAACAUCUUCGGAAAGCUGACCUUGAAGAAAGGCGUUAUUGAUAUCCAAUUGACGAAGAGGCCAGCCAUGACUAACAUCAAUACUAAGAACAAGCCGUAUUGUGGUGGGCUUAACAACUGGACUGAAAGUGUCAUAAUAGUCCACACCAGGCCGUUGAUUGAACCCUUUGGCAACAAGACGAGCUUUAAACCUGUCAACAGAACCGUUGGAAUGUCUUUUAAUACAAAAAUCCAUUUGCAGCCAACAAUAUUAGAAGGGAUGGGAGGUGGAACAAGCUUCCAUGUCCCAUUACGAACAAGAGCAUCAUACUCUUCGGACAUAGCUUGACGCCAGUGAGGAUUUUUGAUAGCUUGCGUCACAGUUGUAGGUUCACAAUUAGAAGGGGGGCUAAAAUGAGCACGGAGGUUAAGUUUUUGUAACGGCUUGUGAAUCUUAUUUUUAGCUCGGGUAGUCAUAUCAUGGUGAUUUGUGGGGCAACGAUCUAGUGGAGUUUGGGAAGAUGAUUGAACAGGAAGUGAAGAAGUGCUUUGUGUAGAGGUAGAAGUUGUGCUGUCAAGUUUGUGCUGUGAAUAUGUUUUGUCUGUAGCUCUCUUGGAGGAGUAUUUAAGGAAAUGAAUGAACAAGAAAAAGGGAGUUCCUUGAAUCCAAAAUACAAAUCUUCUAUUUCUCUAAUUUCUCUAGUCUCUACUCUUUACCCUUCUAUUUCUGGAGGACUCCACCCUCUAAAGUGGAAACUUAAUUCCCAGAACUUGCUGCUGCUAACAGUCAAGUCUAACAUUUGGUGCUUUCAUUGAGAGAUGGCAAACGAGGGUAUGCAAACACGAUAUUGAGCCCUUGAAGAACAGGUCACACAACUCAAAGAAUCGACCCAAAAAUCCCUUGAAGACCUACGCCAAAUCAUAAUACAACAGCAGCAAAUUAACCAAAGUUCACAACAAAACCUACAAGGUGCACAACAAGCACUACAAAACUCUAUAGCAGAGCUUGCUGCUAGAGUUACCAUGAUGGCACCCUCUCAGAUUGGGUCCUCCACAAACCCACCAGCCUCUGCACCACCUACGCCACAAAACACACCACCUAUACAAGCUCAACUACAACCCACACAAAGCACAAGAUCUAUACGAUGUGAUCUAUCAACAUUUGAUGGAUCUAACCCCUUAGAUUGGAUAUUUCAAGCUGAAAAAUACUUUUCUUUCUAUGAAACCCCAGAGGAGCAACGGAUUGACAUCGCCAGUUUCUAUAUGACUGGCCAAGCACUCUUUUGGUUCCAAUGGAUGCACAAGAAUCAACAAUUAUCUUCUUGGGCAGCUCUCACCCGAGCUAUUGAAAGCAGGUUUGGCCCUUCCUCCUAUAUUAAUCACAGAGCCACUUUAUUCAAACUUACCCAAACAAGCUCUGUAGAGGCUUACCAAUCAGCCUUUGAAAACAUCUGCAACAGAGUCACCAACCUUCACCCAGAUGCCAUUUUAGAUUGCUUCAUCUCAGGUUUAAAACCAACCAUUCAAAAUGAGUUAGCUAUUCACAAACCUUCUAACCUUCCUGAUGCAAUUGCUUUAGCCAAAUUGAUUGAAGAUAAAUUGCUGUCCUAUAACCAAAAACCCAUUUCAUGGAAAUCAUCCAAUACACCAAUACCCAUACCUACACGCAACGAAACAAAUAUACGGCCAGACCCAUGGCCCCCACUUUUACCCCUCCAACCAUCAAAUCCAUCAAACCCACCAAAGACAACCCUUUCUAUUCAUCGUCUGACGACCGCCGAAAUGCAAACCUGUCGUGCCCAAGGCUUGUGCUUCAAUUGCGAUGAACGAUUCAAGCCCGGUCAUCGUUGUCGCACUCGCCCUUUUCUGUUAUUAUUGACAGAGGAACCAUCAGAAAGUUUUCAAGAAGAAGAAAUAUUGGUGGAGGAUACGGUGCCUAUCGAAGAAACAGCGAAUCCAAGCCCCAAAAUUUCUUUUCAUGCUUUGAUUGGAACAACUGGUCCCCAAACCUUCAGACUCAGUGCUAAAAUUAACAAUCAACCUUUAUCAGUAUUAAUUGACACUGGGAGUACACAUAAUUACCUCCACCCGCGGUUGGCUCACUUCCUUCAUUUGGCUAUUGAGAAGACAAUGACGUUUUUGGUAGCUGUCAGCAAUGGGAAACGGAUUCGUAGCGAAGGUCACUGUUCGAAAGUUAAAUUCGAGAUGCAGGGUGUUGAAUUUGAAGCUGACUUUCAUAUACUAGAUUUUUGUGGAGCUGAUGUUGUUUUAAGGGUACAAUGGCUGGAGAAGUUGGGGAAAAUUAUCACUGAUCACAAAGCUCUAACUAUGGAAUUUACAUAUAAAGGACAACCUAUUAAACAUGAAGGAGCUCAAAACAUUCGGCCCCACCCCAUUCCUAUAUCCUUCCACCAACUAAAAAGACUACAACAGACUACCUCAAUAGCUCAGUACUUCCGUUUAGAACUUGAACCAGACAGUCCACCUUCAACCCAAAAUAUUCACCAAUCCAUGGAUUCCACUCUUCACCAAGAUUUCCUAACACUACUAAACCAAUAUCCAACUAUUUUUAGCAUCCCAAAAGGCCUUCCACCUAAUAGACCCCUAACCACAAAAUCACUCUUCUCCCACAAUCUACUCCUAUGAAUGUUAAACCAUACCGCUACCCCCAUUACCAAAAAAAUGAAAUCGAGAGGCAAGUUCAAGAAAUGCUUCAAGAUCAAAUUAUACAACCUUCCACCAGCCCAUUCUCCUCACCCGUCCUCUUAGUUCGCAAAAAAGAUGGGACAUGGCGAUUUUGUGUCGAUUAUAGAGCUCUAAAUGCCAUCACUAUCAAGGAUCGAUUUCCAAUACCUACAGUGGAUGAAUUACUAGAUGAAUUACAUGGGGCCAUCAUCUUUUCAAAGAUUGAUUUACGGAGUGGGUAUUUCCAAAUUCGGAUCCACCCACCCGACAUUCCAAAAACUGCAUUUCGAACAUAUGAAGGUCAUUACGAGUUUCUUGUAAUGCCCUUUGGGCUGUCCAAUGCCCCCUCCGCAUUUCAAGCCACAAUGAACUCUAUUUUCAAACCUUAUCUUUGUAAGUUCAUUCUAAUUUUUUUUGACGACAUUCUUGUUUACAGCCGAUCCCAUGAGGAACACCUUUACCAUCUCAAAAUUGUUCUCCAGCUGCUCCAUCAAAACUAAUUGUACGCUAAGUUAUCCAAGUGCAGUUUCGGCCAAGCUAAAUUAGAGUAUCUCGGCCAUUUUGUUUCAGCCCAAGGAGUGAGUGUUGAUCCCACCAAAAUUCAAGCUGUCUUAAAUUGGCCUAAACCAAAAACAAUUGCUGCUGUGAGGGGUUUCCUAGGACUCAUAGGAUAUUACUGACGUUUUGUAAAAGGGUAUGCCCAAAUUACAAGCCCAUUAACUGAUUUGCUUAAGAAGGACGGAUUUGACUGGGGUGAAGCAGCUGACUUAGCUUUUGAGCGUCUCAAACGUGCUCUGACUGAAGUUCCUAUCUUAGCCUUACCAGAUUUUUCCAAAGUCUUUGCAGUGGAAACGGAUGCCUCUGGUCUCGCUGUGGGUGCGAUUCUCUCCCAAAAUCGACAUCCAAUAGCUUAUUUCAGUAAGAAGUUGCCACCAAGACUUCAAUCUGCAUCUGCGUAUAGUCGUGAGAUGUAUGCAAUCACAGCAGCAGUUCGACGAUGGCGACCAUAUCUCUUAGGCCGACCUUUCACCAUAUUCACUUAUCAUAAAAGCCUUAAGCAACUCCUUACACAAACGAUACAGACACCAGAGCAGCAAACUUGGUUGACAAAGCUGUUAUGGUUUGAAUUUACAAUUGAGCAUAAGGCUGGGGUGGAAAAUAGUGGACCCGAUUCUCUGUCACGAUGGACAAGCGAAGCACAAGGUAAUCUGAUGUCAAUUUCAGUCACUACUAGCACUUUCCUAACUGAAAUUCGAGAUGCCCUUGCUUUGGAUGGCACUGCCCAACAAAUUCCGCAGUCAAUUGAGAAAGGGGUUUGCACAGAUAAUAAUUUUUCUAUUCAACAAAACUUACUUUACCAUCAGGGUAGAAUUUUUGUUCCUAACAGUAUGAAGCUCAGAAAACGCCUUCUAAACCUAUUCCAUGGCUCGGUGAUUAGCAGGCAUUCUGGGGAACAAAAGACUUAUGCUCGAUUAUCAGCCAAUUUUUAUUGGCCGCAAAUGCGCCGAGAGGUACAGCAACAUGUUCGAGAAUGUUCAAUUUGUCAGCAAACCAAACCAGAAAACUUCUGUUCCAAGGGGCUUUUACAACCGUUGCUCAUACCAUCCAGAGUCUGGGAAGACAUUUCAAUGGAUUUCAUUACUUCUUUACCACAAUCAAACGGUAAGACAAUUAUUUGGGUCAUUGUUGAUAGACUGUCCAAGUAUGGUCAUUUUUGUGCCUUACCAAAGGGAGUUACUGCACCGAAAUUGGCUGAAUAUUUUGUUCGCGAGUACGUUCGACUUCAUGGAUUCCCUAGAUCCAUUGUUACUGAUCGUGAUCCUUAGUAUUAUGGUCCUUACCAAAUAGCGGCAAGAGUUGGAAAGGUUGCAUAUCGCUUAUUGUUACCACCUGAAUCUUGUAUCCAUCCCGUGUUCCACAUUUCAAUCCUCAAGUUAUGUCCAAACCCUGUUGAAGUUAUUCCCGCCCACCCACCACCAACUGCAGAACCUUAUUCCAUACCUCUAUGCAUUUUGGACCAGCGAACUAUCAAGACAAAUAAGCAAAAGGUCAAGCAAGUCUUAGUGCAGUGGUCUAACACGACACCUGAUGAAACUACAUGGGAGAAUUGGGAACCUUUCCACGCCACUUUUCCUCAUAUUAGCCUUAAGGACAAGGCUCAUUUCCAUGAGGGUGGUAAUGAUACAACCAUUGCACAGCCGAUUGCUCAAGCUAGGCCUAAAAGACAGCCCAAAGUUCCCUUCAAGCUUCAAGAUUUUGUGCGGGAAUGAUGGUGCAACCGAUUACAGCACUUAGAUACUCUUCAAGAUAUUAUGUUGAAUUUUUUAUUUACUAUUAUUGCAAUUAUGUUUUGCUGUGCUGUCAAUUUUAUUAGAAAGAAUAUUGUGCUGUCAAGUUUGUUAGAGAGAAUAUUGUGCUGUCAAGUUUGUGCUGUGAAUAUGUUUUGUCUGUAGCUCUCUUGGAGGAGUAUUUAAGGAAAUGAAUGAACAAGAAAAANNNNNNNNNNNNNNNNNNNNNNNNNNNNNNNNNNNNNNNNNNNNNNNNNNNNNNNNNNNNNNNNNNNNNNNNNNNNNNNNNNNNNNNNNNNNNNNNNNNNNNNNNNNNNNNNNNNNNNNNNNNNNNNNNNNNNNNNNNNNNNNNNNNNNNNNNNNNNNNNNNNNNNNNNNNNNNNNNNNNNNNNNNNNNNNNNNNNNNNNNNNNNNNNNNNNNNNNNNNNNNNNNNNNNNNNAAGUGGUCAACCGUUGUCUCGAGACAUACUUGCGAGCAUUUACUGGAGACUAUCCAAAUAGAUGGUCUGCAGCUUUACCAUGGGCCGAAUAUUGGUACAAUACCAGUACACACAGCUCUACAGGAUUUUCACCAUUCCAAGUUGUCUAUGGCAGGCCCCCACCACCUCUUGUAGGAUACUCCAGCGAAGACACCCCUAUUGAUUCUUUAAACUCUGCAUUAUUGGAUAGAAAAGCUCUAUUGGCUACUGUCAAGCUGAACCUUCAGAGAGCACAGGAAAGAAUGCGCACCCAAGCAAAUCAUCAUCGUCGCGAUAAGGAGUUUGAGGUUGGUAACUGGGUUUAUGUUAAGCUUCAAUGUUAUCGACAGUCUUCUCUUACUCACCGUCUAAGUAACAAGCUUGCCAAGAAGUAUUAUGGUCCUUACCAAAUAGCGGCAAGAGUUGGAAAGGUUGCAUAUCGCUUAUUGUUACCACCUGAAUCUUGUAUCCAUCCCGUGUUCCACAUUUCAAUCCUCAAGUUAUGUCCAAACCCUGUUGAAGUUAUUCCCGCCCACCCACCACCAACUGCAGAACCUUAUUCCAUACCUCUAUGCAUUUUGGACCAGCGAACUAUCAAGACAAAUAAGCAAAAGGUCAAGCAAGUCUUAGUGCAGUGGUCUAACACGACACCUGAUGAAGCUACAUGGGAGAAUUGGGAACCUUUCCACGCCACUUUUCCUCAUAUUAGCCUUGAGGACAAGGCUCAUUUCCAUGAGGGUGGUAAUGAUACAACCAUUGCACAGCCGAUUGCUCAAGCUAGGCCUAAAAGACAGCCCAAAGUUCCCUUCAAGCUUCAAGAUUUUGUGCGGGAAUGAUGGUGCAACCGAUUACAGCACUUAGAUACUCUUCAAGAUAUUAUGCUGAAUUUUUUAUUUACUAUUAUUGCAAUUAUGUUUUGCUGUGCUGUCAAUUUUAUUAGAAAGAAUAUUGUGCUGUCAAGUUUGUUAGAGAGAAUAUUGUGCUGUCAAGUUUGUGCUGUGAAUAUGUUUUGUCUGUAGCUCUCUUGGAGGAGUAUUUAAGGAAAUGAAUGAACAAGAAAAAGGGAGUUCCCUGAAUCCAAAAUACUAAAUAAUUUUUACUAUUUUUGUCUCUUCUAGAGGAUCUUCUAGAAAAAUGCAUCCACAACAAAAUUUAAUACUUUACAUAAUAAACAAAGCAUAAAUGUUAAAUUUAAGAAACUGCAUUGCAUCUUUAAUAUUUAGGGUAGAAAAAGUAUUAAUUUUAUUUUUUGAAAUGUCCAUAUUCAGAGCACAUUUCAAAAAGACUCAAUAAUUUCUCAUAAAUUUCAAUUAAAAAUAUUCAAUUUGUUGUUUCAGUUCUUUUAUUUUUUAUUUUUUCCAACAUGAAAGCGACUUAAUGUUACUAAAUUGCUUUUAUGGUCUUUGGAUUUUCAUGACCCAAUAAUUGGAACAUAACAAUUUUCUCAAGCGCUCUCCCGCAACAUUUUAUUUUUAUUUUUUGGUUUUUGACCACGAGAUAUCCUGGAGAGGACCCCAACUGUGGGAGGCACCUUUAAGCCCGUACCACAACCUAGACUAGAAGUCACCGCUCGAAUCGAGAGGCACAUGUUCUCUCAAUAAAAGCGACUUUCCUGCGACUCAAUCUGGGAAGUAAACCCAAUCAAACUACUUAAAGGGACUCCAUUAUCAAUGGAGCCAACACUUUGUUGGUCGCAACAUUUUAUAAUUGAAGCCGCUGCCCCGCCUGUGGUUCCAAACUUUUAUCUUCCUCCUCCUUUAAAUUAAUGCGAGCAGCCUCCGUCCUUGACUAGUUGACUCUUUUCUUCUUUUUUAAUUAAUUAAUUCAGCCGCCCACCAUUCUUUUCCCAAUGUCUUCUACUUUCGAUUUCCUUUUAUUUUCUCUUUAUUUUUAAAAUAUGCUUAUAGUAAUAAUAAUAAUAAAAAUAAAAAUAAAAAUAAAAAUAUUAAAAUAUAAUUUAUCAAAAAAUUAAGAUAAAGAAAUAUUAUAAGCACAUCAAUCAACAAGUGAAAAAAAAAUAAUUUUAAUUUAUAUUAAAUAUAAACUUUCAGUGUUAAUCAAUUUUUCUAAAUAACUGAAAUUAUUUUAAAAUAAAAGUAAAUUAUUCUUCUCAAAAAAAAAAAAAAAAUUACACCCACUCACUGGACUGGCUGUCAAGAGUCGCUUUAAGGACUGAAGUUGGUAACUUUUGCAAGCAGUCUUAAAUUGAAUGGCAGCAACCCACGCUUUAUGUUUGCUAUCGGGUCUAGGCCCAAGUUUAGUCUUAAAGUCUAGGCUUGAGCCCGAGAACUAAAUUAAAAAAUUAAUUGAUUUAAUUGUGGUGUAAUUGAUUUGUAGGGGAUGAAUCAGCAGCAUCAUCGGUUAACGCUUUCAGAUUUAUGGUUAAUCAAUAGUUGAGAGUUGUUAUCACUAAUGCCGUGUAUUUUUUAAUGUUUUUUCUCUCUCCUACAGCAUCUUCUACGAAAGUGCAUCCAUUGCUAAAAUUUAGUAUCGUAAAUAAUAAACCAAGAAUAAAUAUUAAAUCUAAGAAACUGUAUUGCAUUUAAUAUUUAAGGGAGAAAAAGAAUUAUAGUGUAUUUAUUAAUCAGUAAUGAGAAAAGACUAGAAUCAUAAUAAAUUGUAUUGCUAUUAAUAUGUUUAUUUUAUUUUGUACUCAAAAUGAAUUAUUUUAAAUUAUUGAAAUACCCUUAUUGUUAUUCUAAUUAUUAUUAUUAUUUAAUAUUCAUUAUAAUAUUUGUCAUAUUACUAAAAAGCAAUAAUAAUAAUGAUAAUAUUGGAAUUGUUGUUUUUUAUAUUAUUAUUAUUUUUAUUCAAAACACUUCUUGUCAGCCCAUUCAUACGUGAAAACCAAAACCAAAUCUCUUCUUCUCCUUCUUUUCUUAUAGUGCAGGAUGUGUGUGCUCGGACUUCUCUCUCAUUCUUUUUUCUUUUUAGAUUUUGAAAACCUAAAAAAAAGAGUGUAGGAGUUUUUAUUUUUUUAAAACAAUACUUUUUGAAUUAUCCAAUUAAGUUAAAUUUUGUGGCAUCUGGUAUUUACAUUUCUUGUUUUUUUCGCAAGUUAUUAUUGCCUAAUGCUAUGUCAACUCUAACAUUAGCAUUUUUUUUUUUUUUNNNNNNNNNNNNNNNNNNNNNNNNNNNNNNNNNNNNNNNNNNNNNNNNNNNNNNNNNNNNNNNNNNNNNNNNNNNNNNNNNNNNNNNNNNNNNNNNNNNNNNNNNNNNNNNNNNNNNNNNNNNNNNNNNNNNNNNNNNNNNNNNNNNNNNNNNNNNNNNNNNNNNNNNNNNNNNNNNNNNNNNNNNNNNNNNNNNNNNNNNNNNNNNNNNNNNNNNNNNNNNNNNNNNNNNNNNNNNNNNNNNNNNNNNNNNNNNNNNNNNNNNNNNNNNNNNNNNNNNNNNNNNNNNNNNNNNNNNNNNNNNNNNNNNNNNNNNNNNNNNNNNNNNNNNNNNNNNNNNNNNNNNNNNNNNNNNNNNNNNNNNNNNNNNNNNNNNNNNNNNNNNNNNNNNNNNNNNNNNNNNNNNNNNNNNNNNNNNNNNNNNNNNNNNNNNNNNNNNNNNNNNNNUGACAUUCCUCGUUUUUGCUCCAAACCUCAAGUCUCUUUCGCUAUUCAAUUUCCGUGCUAUGGAAGAAAUAAUCAGCGUUGGAAAAUUUGCUGAGGUUCCUGAGAUGAUGGGACAUAUAAGCCCUUUUGAAAAUCUCCGAAGUCUUCGUUUGUCACAUUUGCCAAAUUUGAAGAGCAUCUACUGGAAGCCAUUGCCUUUCACUCAUCUGAAAGAAAUGGUGGUACAUGGGUGUGAUCAGCUUAAAAAGCUUCCACUCGAUUCCAACAGUGCAAAAGAGCGUAAAUUUGUUAUUCGUGGACAAGCAGACUGGUGGGACCGACUUCAAUGGGAGGAUGAAGCCACUCAAAUUGCUUUUAGUUCCUGUUUCCAACCUUAACUUGAUUUCUGGUUACUGCUGUUUCCUUAACUUUUACAUAUAUUCUCGUCGUUUGCUUCGUGCAAAAUACUAGGUCUUUUGUUCUCUGUUUUUAUUUCGCCCAUUUUUUUUUUUUUUGGUCUUCUGCAAAUGACAGACAAAUGUUGAACUAAAAGGAAUUAAUGCUUUAUAACUUUGCCGCCAUUGCUUUUUUCUUUUUCUUUUUUGUUUUUUUGGGGCGAGGGGGGAUCGAAUUGAUGCUCUGGUUUUUGACUUUUUGUUGUCAAAUUUUACUCUGUUUUUUUCAAAUUGAUGCUUGAAUAUUUGAAUCAAAUUAAUGCUCACGUAAAUUUGUUCAGUUGCCGUAAAAGGAUAUAAUUACACUGAAAUACACAACUCUAGAAUGAAUAGAAUUAAACAGAGAAAAUAUUGAGUAUAUUAGCCGUCUUCACAUAAAAUCAUAUGAAAAUUAAAUUUUGAAGUUUUUAUUUUCUAUUUUUAAUCAUACCCUUUAUAAUUUCUUCUGUUCUAACUACAAUAAAAUUUUUGGUUCAAGGAUUUUUAUUAGGGGUAUUAAUAAUAGUCCACCAAAAGAGUGAACAGUUGGAUGCUGCCCUCUUGCUAAGGGUCUCUAAUCAAUAGCUGGAAGCAAUUGAGAAGGCGGUCGCUACUGUGUACAAAGCCAUGCAGUAUUUGUUAUUCAUCUUAGUAAUUAUGAAACUUUGGUAAAAUUUUCAUGAUUUUGUAUGAAUAUCGUUGUUCCAUUGAGUUGUAUAUGAAUUCAAAUGUAAAAUAUUCUUUGGUUUUCAAUUUUGAAUUCAAUUUCUUUUUCUUAAGAAUGUUGUGCAGAAAUGAUUUCUACUAAAUCAUUUUUUAUAAACUAUUUAAAUUAAACAACUGGAAUAAGAACUGUAAGGAUUUAUCGUAAGCAGACUAAUAUGAUAAUUCUGAAACUAUCAUUUUUUUUUUUCAAUUUGUUGCAGGGAAAGCCAAAUUUUGCGUUUUUCAGUUUUAUCUGAUAUGGAAUUUAUUUCCUCUACACUAGCUACCUAAAGAUUUAUCAAAUUGCUUCUCUUCUCUGCUUCAAAUUAAUAUCUUUAUGCAGCUACAAUCUGAUGGGAAAAGACAGUUUGGGUUGUAUUUAUUAUAGUUUUUUUUUCGUUAAGAGCAAUUUAUUUUAAAAUCGUUUAGUAGUAACAGUUUUUAUUGAAUAAUAAUGGGGAAGGAUUAUUAUAGGUUCAAAUAGUUGUUAGAACAUUAUAAAAAGUCCAUUUACUAUCAAAUGUUUUAAAUCGGUGCAACAUGAUAAUUGUCCCACAUAGUUUUUAAUAAUAUAUAUGGCCCAUAAAUUUAAUAUGAAUAAAUGAGUUUCGAUAGUUAAAUUUGACACGAUUAUUAAAUAAGUUAUAUCCAUGUCAAUUCGACUUAAAAUCUGGUCAAAUUUAGAUUUAGAGUUUAUAACAUGAUAACUUGUUUUAUGACAUGAUUUACUAAUCAAUUAAUAUUAAAUUAUAUUUUAGCCAAUCAGAUCUGUGGUACAUUUGUCAAAAUUUAAAAAUUAUUUAUUUAUAUAUGAAAUAAAUUUGACUAGACUGUGUGUAGGUAAUAGUGCAUAAUUUCUAAAAAAAAUGUAAUAAUAACUCGUUAAAAUGUUAUUUUUAUGAAGAAAAAUUGAAAUUUUAUUAAAUAGGCGACACAAUAAUAAAUGGGGUGAGAUUAUUUACACUUUAAAAAUUACUCUGAACAUUAUUUUAUUUUAUAAAUUUUAUAUUACAAAAACACCCAUAAUUUAAUUUGCCAUUAAGAACAAUUUUGUGCGAUUAAAUAAAAUACAUUACUCUUUACCCUUUCACUACAUCAACAUAAAUCCUAACUUUUAUGUUUCUAAUUUCUUUGAUAUGCUUAUUGAAGUCCACAUUAUAAUCAAUUUUAAACUAUUAUACUACUUAAAUACAUUUUAGAAUGAGAAGUUUGGUUUUCUUCAUGGGCUGCCUUGCUGAUGCUGUUAUUGAAACUAUCGAACUUAAUAAUUUUAUGGCCAAAAUGAUAUAUGUUGAACCAGCUUUUACAUCGAAUUCUACCACCAUAAAAAAUCAUACUUGUAAUAUCUCAAGGUUCCAAUUUAUCAAAAGUUAAUAUUUCAUAUUUGUUAGUUCCUAACAGUCACAAGAGCGUACAAGCCAAUUUUUGUAGCUCCUUUUUCUGCAGUAGAUUCAAGUAUAUUAUUAUCAAGCAUUUUUGUUACACCCUUAAUUCCUUAUCAUCAUCCCUUCAUUCAGAGCAACUAAACAGAGGUCAAUGUCAUUGUGUUAGAGUUGCGAGGAAGAGUACUGCCAAAAAAGUUCUUUGUAUGGGAUUUAAUUUUCUGGGUUUGUAGUAAUGAACAAAUUGAGGGUUGUUUUGGUAUUUUCAAGAGUGUAUUGAGUGAAAAUUAUUUUUAAAAAAUUUAACAAGUGAGUGUAAUGAGUAAAAAAGUGUUUAAAGUAUUUUUUAGAGUACAAAUAGCCCCACCUUAAUAAAUGAAUUCUUGUAAAAAUUGAGAUUAUUGAUAUAAUUAUUAAAUAGGUUGGAUUGAAGUUAGUUUAAUUUUGACAAGAUAAUAAGACGACGCGACACAAAUACAACCAACCAGUCAACCCAAAUUGCAACCUUUUACUAAUAAAAGAUACCUGUUUGAAACGUAAUUAUAAGCUAUCUUCUUUGUGUUAUUUCUCUAAAAAUUUGCGGCACAAAUGUUAUUUCCAUGGAGAAAAGUACGAAAUACCCGCUUUCACUUCAGCAGAAGCAAAGCAAAGCUAUGAGCCAUCUCUGUAUAAUUGAAACGCCAUUGCUAAACGGUUCUUGAUGAUGGGUGCCACCGUGCCAGCGUUGUCGCUGAUUUGCAUGAUUUAUUAGUUGUUCAGAUGGCGGAUUUUGUACUGUCACUUUCAUUUCAUUCUUGAGAGCCACGUACAAUACUAGGUGGCAUUGAAGUUGCCCCAGUGGUUAGUUUUCUGAUAUUUUUUUAAUUCAAAUUUUUAUGUUUUAGAAAAAUGUAAGAAAUAUGUAGAAAUGUUGACAGCUACAAUUUUGAAACUUUGCCUAAAAUUAUUAUCAUUACUUAUUGUUUCUUAGCUAAAGAGAAAUCCUAGAAACAUGAAAUUAUUAUUCUAUGCUUGUUUUAAUAUUAUACAUUAGCAGGUUAAUUAAAAAUUAGACGUGAAUACAACAAGAGAUAAGUGGAGAGAAUUUGAUAGUCGACUGCAUUUAGAAUUUAAUUUUUCUUUUAGCUGCCGAUCAUUAAAUUUUAUAUUUCAGAAAAUUAUACCUAGAAUAUUUCAAGGAUAUACUACGAAGAUUAUGAAGGUUUGAUUACAUGUCACUAUCAAUUGCCUCAAUCAUUUGUAGUAAAUUAAUUAAUCAUUUUGCUGCAAAUGAUUUCCUAUUAAAAAAUUCAAGUCAGAGCUGAAUUGCACAGUAGUUAGUCGUGCUUGCAAUUCAAAUUAAGUAUUGUAUUUUCUGCCUGAUUUGGUUGAUUCAACUAUGUGCAUUUGCAUAAUGGAGAUGCCUAUGAACGUUGUAGUAUAGAAAUCGAAACGUCUUGUCUUUUGCUAAGCCCAGAAGCAAAGUUCUUUGUAUUAUACUCAUCAGUUUUCUUCGUUCUCUUCGUUGAAAUUUUAUCCAAACAGCGGUUUCUUCGAAUUUUUGCCUUCUCUUACAUUUUUAAAUCUAUCAAAGAACGGUUACCUGAGAAGAUUGCCAUCAGGUAUUUCGAAAUUGAUUUCACUACAAUACCUUAAUCUAUCAGAUGCUCCCGUCACUCAGUUGCCAAAAGUGACAAAAGCCUUAGUAAAUUUUUAGAGUAAAAACUUAUUUAGUCCUUAUAUUUUAACUGCUGUACCGUACAUCCGCCUUGGCCGUACAGCAGUUUUGACACCCCUAGACUAGUCCUAGCCAGCUUCACAAAGGGUGCAUUUGGUAAACAACUUUUCUUUCCUGUACGUAUCUGUCCUUCCACCAUUGGGUGUGUACGUAACAGAUAAUGUACCGUAACAAGCUCCUAUUUUUAAAUAUGUUUAUAAUGAUAAAAUAUAAAAAUUAAGAUUAAAAUGUAAUGUAAUAUAAAUUAAAGGUGGAAGAGUAUUAAAAUAAUGUGUAUAAGAUAUGAAUAAACAAGUCAAUAAGAAAACAAACAAACGGCAAGAGAAAAGGAAUGGUCAUGCAGAUUUCAAGGUGGCCGUGACAAUGAGAUCUCAUUUUAAAUGUGAUAAUAUAUAUUUUAAAUAAUUUCAAUACAAAAAACAUUUGAAUGUUUUAUAAUUUAUUAGACAUAUUUUAUUAUAUUAAUAUAAAUUUUUUAAGAAAUAUGGACAUAAUAUUAAAAUAAAUUUAUGAAAAUUUAAAUUAUUUUGAAUGUAAAAUAAUUUUAAUAUUAUUAAUCCAUUAGGUAUUAAUUAUAAAUAACCCAAAGAUUUUUUAUAUCCUUACAAUAAAUAUAAAUAUAUUAUUUGCAUUUAAAAAUAUUUAAAUAAUAUUAAUCUACAAUUAUAUUUUCAUUUAUUAUAAAUAUUUAAAGUCAAAUCUUUUGCACUUCUAUUUUAUUACAAUUAUGGCGCACAAAGAAAGAGCCAUAUAUGCUUUAUAGCGUUAGAAAUUGGUUUCUUUUAAAGUUGGAAACAGAGAGGAUGAUUAUUAUAAGGAUAAAAGAAAAAGGGAUAAAGAAUAUUAAUGAUUAACAAAAUCUCUCUGCAAAUUGAUUGCAGUAGAAAAAAAGUGAGCUGAGCAAUCUAAUUUAGUGGUAGAGUGAUAUUUCAUUUUGUAGCAAAGUACAUCUCAAAGUUAAGGGAAAAGACUUAAAAUCUCACUUUUGAUUAUAAUAUUUUUUUUAAGAAAAAAAUUAAUUUUAAUAUUUUAUAAUAAAUAAAAAUAUAAUCUUAAAAUAAAUAUAAUAGUACAUAUUUUAAAAUAAUCUCAUUAUUUAAAAUUGUUUUAAUAUUUUGUAAUUUUCCAGAAAAAUUUUAUUAUUUUCAAGUAAAUUUUAUAAUAAAUACAAACACACUAUUAAGAUAAAUAUAUGAAAAAUUUAAAGUAUUUUGAAUAUUAUACAAAAUAAUUUUAAUAUUGUUAAUAGUGAGAUAAUUCUAUUAAUUUAAAAUGCUACUUAACCUUAAGAUUUAUUUAUGAUAAAUUAAUAAUUACAUUUUAAAUUAUUUCAAAUAUUAAAAAUAUUUUAAUAUUACUAAUCUAUUAUAUAGACUAAAUUAUUUAAAUUAUUUUGUAUAAAUUAAUUACUAUUUAAAGGAUAUUGUGAUAAAAAGAUCUUAGUGUUUUUAUUAAAAAUUUAAAAUUUACAUGACUAUUUCUUUAAAUAUUUAGGGCAUAUAUGAACCACGGAGGAGAAAAAGCUUUAUUUAAUAUUUUAGAAUAGUUUUUGAUCAGUACAAUUGGGUCCUUAUUCAGAAUUAUUGUUCUCUUCCGCAACAGUUUUUGUUUAUCAAAGUCAUCAAUUAAAAUUUUAGAAUUCUUAUCAUCAGAAGUAGUCGUUUUAGAAGUUGGGUCUUGGAUCAAAUUUCUACGAGUGCAUGAAUUAACAAUAAAAAAAUUUCAUUACACUACUAUUUGCACAGUUGACUAUAAAACUUACCUCCAAUUACACUAAACCUCUCUAUUUGGUAACGUUGAGACUAAAUUAAUUUUAUUAGCAUGAAAAGAUAAUAGAAAUAUUAUCAUAAAUAUUAUUGUUGUUAAUCAAUUAGUACAUGUGAUAUAAAGGUUAAAUGUGCACUAUAUUUAACAAUUAAUUAAUGGAACAUGUUAAACAAAAUGUUAAUGUAUAUUUAUAUAGUGUUAGGAAUAUGCAAAGUCAAGUCCUCAAUUUGCAUAAUCCUGUAUAGAAUAUUACUCUAAAAAUGUUUUACUAUAAUUGGCUUAGAACAUUUGUAAAGAAAAUAAUAAUAGUAAUAAUAAAUAACAUACACCGUUACAUAGCAUCUAGACAAUGAUAGAAAAUUAUUAAAGAGAGUGCAAACAAUUAAUUAGAGAUUUUUAUGAUAACUUUUAUAGUCAUGAUAAUAACAAAUAAAUACAUGUACCACUUUUUUAAAAUAUUAAAUUUGACGUGCUCCAUUAAUAAAUUAUUAUUGUAAUUCAGACUCUAUCUAUAUAUCCUUACACUAAGAAUAAUUAAGUCAUAAUAAAAAUUUUCGUAACUACAUCUCGUUUCUUCCUCAUAAUAAUAAUUAGAUUGGUUCGAAUAUUAUAACUAUACAGAUUUAGUGUAUAGCCACAUCCAAUUUAAAUAUUGACCCAAUUGGGAUGGUCCCCAAAAAAAAGAUUCGUUAAAGGAUAAUUGUAAUUAUUUUUACUUCUCAAACGUUAGUGGGACGUUUGUAUUAGUGCACUCGUAAGCCAAGUGGUCAAAUAUUUAUAUUAAACUACAAUUGCUGACAAGAAAAAUCAAGAUCGUGUUACGCAAGUGGGUCCCGAAUAGGACGUGCCUAAAUAUCUCGUAAGCCAAGUUGUCAAAUAUUUAUAUUAAACUACAAUUGCUGACAAGAAAAAUCAAGAUCGUGUUACGCAAGUGGGUCCCGAAUAGGACGUGCCUAAAUAUCUCGUAAGCCAAGUUGUCAAAUAUUUAUAUUAAACUACAAUUGCUGACAAGAAAAAUCAAGAUCGUGUUACGCAAGUGGGUCCCGAAUAGGACGUGCCUAAAUAUCUCGUAAGCCAAGUUGUCAAAUAUUUAUAUUAAACUACAAUUGCUGACAAGAAAAAUCAAGAUCGUGUUACGCAAGUGGGUCCCGAAUAGGACGUGCCUAAAUAUCUCGUAAGCCAAGUUGUCAAAUAUUUAUAUUAAACUACAAUUGCUGACUAGAAAAAUCAAGAUCGUAUUACAAGUGGGUCCCGAAUUGGACGUGCCUAAAUCUUUUUAUAAUUUUCCCAGUAUAGCGGACAGAGGUCAUUACUAAAUUUCUCUUCCACACGCCACAGCAGCUUCGGUUAAUCAAACUCAAUCAAUUUUCUUGGCUUCUCCGCUUAUCAAUAUUACAAGGUAUGGGUAGCAUUUUUCAAAUCACAUGCGAUGGUACUAUUUUCAAUCGUUGCUUAGAUUGCUUUCUUGGAAAAGCAGCAUACAUAAGUAACCUCCAAGAUAAUCUCGUUGCCUUGGAGACUGAACUAAGGAAACUAAUCGCAGCAAAGAACGAUGUGAUGACGGCGGUUGUCAAUGCUGAACGGCAACAAAUGAGAAGGCUGGACCAAGUGCAAGUGUGGGUUUCGAGGGCGGAUGCUGUUAAAACUGAAGCUGAUGAACUUAUCAGAGGCGGCUCUCAAGAAAUUGAAAAAUUAUGUCUUAGAGGGUUCUGUUCCAGGAACUGCACGUCAAGCUACAAGUUCGGAAAACAAGUGGCUAAAAAGCUACGAGCUGUGGAGACUUUAAUCGCCGAAGGAGUUUUUGAGGCGGUGGCUGCGGAGGUGGUGCCUGAGAGAGCUCCAGAGCCUGUAGCAGAUGAAAGACCUACAGAGCGAACAGUAGUAGGCUUGCAAUCACAACUUGAACAAGUCUGGACGUGUCUUGUGGAAGAAUCAGCGGGAAUCAUUGGCCUAUACGGUAUGGGCGGUGUUGGUAAAACCACACUAUUGACCCAUAUCAACAAUAAAUUUCUCGAGAGUCCAACCAACUUUGAUUGUGUGAUUUGGGUUGUAGUUUCAAAAGACCUGCGACUUGAAAAAAUUCAAGAAGAUAUUGGGAAAAAGAUAGGUUUGGUUGGUGAUUCAUGGAAGAGUAGAAGUGUAGAGGAGAAAGCUCUCGACAUCUUCCGGAGUUUAAGAGAGAAGAGAAUUG